UCUUGGAUGACUUUUAACGCAAUUCGAUUUUGACAAUGCCUUCCUAAAUGACAAGCUAACUGAAACUGUAUAUAUGAUGCAACCACAGGGUUAUUCUGUUACACUGGUACCAAUCAAAAAUGUUCACACACCAGUACACCACACAGAAGCACAAAAUAGACCCGAACAGGGCACACAUUUUAGUAGAAUGACUAAACAUUUU